AUUGAACGCUGGCGGCAUGCUCUACACAUGCAAGCCGAACGGUAACAGGCCGCAAGGUGCUGACGAGUGGCGAACGGGUGAGUAAUGCAUCGGAACGUGCCCAGGCGUGGGGGAUAACGCAGCGAAAGCUGCGCUAAUACCGCAUACGAUCUAGGGAUGAAAGCGGGGGACCGUAAGGCCUCGCGCGAAUGGAGCGGCCGAUGUCAGAUUAGGUAGUUGGUGGGGUAAAGGCUCACCAAGCCAACGAUCUGUAGCUGGUCUGAGAGGACGACCAGCCACACUGGGACUGAGACACGGCCCAGACUCCUACGGGAGGCAGCAGUGGGGAAUUUUGGACAAUGGGCGCAAGCCUGAUCCAGCAAUGCCGCGUGCAGGAAGAAGGCCUUCGGGUUGUAAACUGCUUUUGUACGGAACGAAACGGUCCUGGUUAAUACCUGGGGCUAAUGACGGUACCGUAAGAAUAAGCACCGGCUAACUACGUGCCAGCAGCCGCAGUAAUAC
rnacentral:rRNA from 1 species